AGCAAGAUGAAAGUUUUUAAUGGAAGCCACAUCCCAUCACUCUUGACAUAUUAUACUGAUUAUACACAGUGACUCUCAAGACACAGGUUGCCACACAUAAAGUCAGUGCUCAAGAGAUGUUUUAUUCACCAGAGUUCCUCACAAUGUGUACUUCAAAGACAUCCUCAGGGGCUUUGGCUGAGGCCAUCUGCUAGUUUUGAAGACUAGAUUUCAGUGUGUUGGUGACUGGACUCAUGCAUAUUCUGUCCUGUGUUUUGCAGCUCCUCCUACAACAAAGAAUCUUCCUCUUAGAAUUUAGAAGGAAGUCCAAGUCUUUUGUGUUUUAUUAUCUUUACACCAGUUCUGCUUUGGCUAUGCUCCUUUUGUUUCAGCUGCUGCUGUCUCCUGGGUGAGGCAGUGAAGUGGACCCAUUCUUCCAUCACUGUUUAUUGAGAAAUGCAGAAACAUUUGUACAGAAACCACUAUGGGUUCAACAGAUUUCCUGGUAGAGAAGUAGAUAAACCAGCCAGACAAAGACGUUUUGAAAUGAGAUGUUAUCAUGUAGCCAACAACUGCAAAUUUACAAGAGCUCUCGGUUGAAAAUAUAAUUGUGGCGUUCAAAAAUCUCAUGAGAAACAUCUGAAUUAGAAUGAUUUUCAGAGGGCUCUCUCACAAUGCUAAGAUUUUGCUCGGAUGAUCUCUGUCGACCCCUGAAAACAAAAAUAAAAGUUUC
rnacentral:lncRNA from 1 species